CAGCCGCCGCGGGAAAACGAAGGGGGCUAGCGUUGCUCGGAACCACUGGGCGUAAAGGGUGCGUAGGCGGGUCUUUAAGUCAGGGGUGAAAUCCUGGAGCUCAACUCCAGAACUGCCUUUGAUACUGAAGAUCUUGAGUUCGGGAGAGGUGAGUGGAACUGCGAGUGUAGAGGUGAAAUUCGUAGAUAUUCGCAAGAACACCAGUGGCGAAGGCGGCUCACUGGCCCGAUACUGACGCUGAGGCACGAAAGCGUGGGGAGCAAACAGGAUUAGAUACCCGAGUAGUCCCUGUCUCUUAUAC
rnacentral:rRNA from 1 species